AAAGCUAUCUGAUAAAGAUUGCAGUUCGGUACAGUUUUCAGUGACCAAACGGGGUCGAAACUGAACCAGUGAUCGUCAGCUUGUUAAGUUAAGUAAAACCGAACAUGACUGUCAAGUUUGAGCUCAAACGGACACUCAGGGAGCUCCGUCGAAAGUUAUCAGAUUUCAAGCUGCCCGGAAGUGAAUAGUGUCGGGUGUAUUAUAAAGAAGCUGAAGCUUCUUUCUUCCUCUCCUUCAGCCCGAGCACCCACACACGCACGCAUGGUGCUAGUGAGAGAAACCUUCAUUCCUCUCUCUAGAUUUCUCUCUUAUCUCUCCAAAUCUCUCUCUAAUAAUUUGAGGGUUGGUGGAAAGCGAGCUUGCGAACGCAUUGGAGGCGUCGGUUCGGGCUUUCGUGCGGCCGUUGCAACGGUGUGUUUUCGUAGCGGCAUUCACAUUGAGGUAAGCUUUUAGGAUUUGGCUUAAUCCUUAGUUCUAAGUGUUCUAAUAGCCUCUAAUGAGCAUUCUAAACAUGUUUGCUCCAUUUAAUUUAGAUUAUUUGGAGAUUAAUUCAUGUUAGGCUUAGAAAAUGGGGUUUUGUAAAAUAUGAGCGUUUGAUCUCAUUUGACCCUCUGUAAACCAAAUUGCUAGGUAAACGAAUGCGUUGGCGAAGACGGUUCGGCAAUCCGACGAGCCGUUACAAAGUUAUUAAAGAAAUGGACGUUUAGGCUUCGGGUCCGCCGGGAGGGCCGAGGCGACGUCGUAAAAUCAUGGAAAUGGAUUUGAGGCAUCGUGGCACAUAACCGAAGACCUAUAAUUUUCGGGGCUACGAAGCGGAGCACAGUUGAGGCGCAGUUGCAGUAUCGGGCCGUGCCGGAUACGGGUGCCGCGGGAGGCCGAUUGCAAGUGUCGACAAGCAAUCGGAACGCAAAUUAAGGUGGGUUGGUUUACCGAAGCGACUAGGUCGCCUUUAUGUCUAAGAAAAUAUGAUUUCUUAUGAUGCAUAUAGAAAUGAAUGAUAAUGAAUGCAAGCUGAUAAAUGCAUGUUGAUAAAUGCUAGAGAGCAUGCGAAAUAAAGUAUAAAUGCUAAGUUGAUGCAUGUAAAUGAUAUAGAGAUUAUAAAAUGCAUGUUGGUAAAUAAUAUAAAUGAUGCAUGUUAACGAUAGUGCUUAGAGCAAGAUGCUAAGUAGAAAGCAUGAUGUUGAUAACAUGAUACAAACGCCAAGUAGAAUGCAUGAGAUAAGAAUGCUAGAGUAUAAUGAUAAGCAUGAUAUGGAAAUAGUAAAUACAAGUACAUGUUAAGAAUGCUAAGUAAUGCAUAGUGACAUAGUGUAAAUCAUGCUAAGUGACAAGCAUAAAGUAUAUAAUACGUGGUGGCCGUGUUGCAUGCAUAGAAAGGUUAAUGUAAGAAUGCUAAAGAUAAUGUAUGAAUGCAUGUUGCAUGUUAAAGAAUGCCCAGUAAAGGACUUGUGUAUAUGGACUUAAGUGCACCUAUAGAUCGAGUAGCAUUGAAUCUAGUGUCGAGGACAUAGGUUAAACAGAUGUGAUUUGAACCUAAUGUAAAGAACAUAGGUUAAAUAAGAAUGAUGUUAAACCUAAUGUAGAGAACACAGGUCGUGAAAUGAAAGGUGCUUAACCUAGAGUCAAGUGAACCUAGGUUGGAAAGAAUGAUGAUCCUAGUGUAAUAAACCUAGGUUAAGAAUGUGAAAGCAAUAAACCUAAAGUAUUAACUUAGGUUGUGUAAUGGACAAAGAACCUAGAGUCAAGUAGACCUAGGAUGUAAAGGACAAUGGACCUAAGUAGGUCGAUACCAUAGGGUUGUGACUAACCCUCGAGUUACGUGAAAUGGAUUCCGGAAUCCCAAAGCUUGUUGAUAUACCUAGAGUGGUAUCGGGUGUGUGCGACGAUUUCGCCGCCCAAGGGCUAAAGAACCAUUGUCGUGGCGUGUGCGACGAUUUCGCCGCCGGAUGGUUAGCCAGUUUGUGGAUCCUACCACCUGUUGACUGAACCACUGUCGUGGCGUUUGUGCGACGAUUUCGCCGCCGGGUGGCUAAGUCAUGGACCUAGGCCGUUGUUGGGUGAGGUGCGAUUCGUUCGCCGCCAGACGGCUAGGACAGGAGUACGGUGAGCUGUUGCCAGCUGAGGUGCAUGUGAGAGUUCCUUCACCUCGAGCUAGACAGUGCGCGGACUAUCCGCGAUUGAUUGACUCAAGACCGAGUCGGGUGGCAUAGAGAACUAAGGUAAGGGAAACCUUAGGAAAGAAUGGCCAGUGGAAAAGUGCAACAAAGUGUAGAGAAUAAAGAAUAAGUAAAGAAUAAAGAUCGGCUAAGGAAUAAGAAUAGCUGAUAAAGUAAAGAAAGGUUACAAGUAAAGAAUAGCUAAGAGCUAAAAGUAAACAUUAAACGACAAGAGUAAAGAAUGAUUAAGAAUAUAAUUAGCGUUAAAGUAACCUACUUGCAUGAUUACGGGUAUUGCAUAUUGCAUUUCGUGAGGCAUGG
rnacentral:lncRNA from 1 species